rnacentral:tRNA from 1 species
GCGAGGAUGGCGGAAUGGCAGACGCACCAGACUUAGGAUCUGGCGCCGCAAGGUGUGAGGGUUCAAGUCCCUCUCCUCGCA